UGUUCGCCAGCAUGCCAUGGUCUACAGUCACUUCAUUUGGCGACGAGGCUGUCUACGUGCCCUCGUAGGCAACGGAAAGCGACAGCGAGGCGUGCGACGCGAAUGAACGCACGGCCACGGAAGAGCAAGCGCAGCUUGUCAUGCGUUGAAGCCUGCCAGCGACGCUACAUAUUCCCGGCCACCGCCUUCGUGUACCGACAGAGGGCAACGAGCAACGCCCCCGAGAUCUCGCUUCGGGAACUCGACUUGAACAGCAACGGGGACAACCUGCUACGCAAGGGAACGUCGAGCGGAUGAAUGUCGAUGAGGACUUCACUGCUCUUGAACCGUUCGAAGGCGAGGCACUCUAUCUUAAAAUCGACAUCACCAGACCGAGCCCUAGUACCGUGUACAAGAUAUACGACGAAGAUUUCGAGUGUGAGAAUGCCAAGGAACUUUUAGAGAAGG